GAUGAACGCUGGCGGCGUGCCUAAUACAUGCAAGUCGAGCGAACAGAUGAGGAGCUUGCUCCCCUGACGUUAGCGGCGGGCGGGUGAGUAACACGUGGAUAACCUACCUAUAAGACUGGGAUAACUUCGGGAAACCGGAGCUAAUACCGGAUAAUAUAUUGAACCGCAUGGUUCAAUAGUGAAAGACGGUUUUGCUGUCACUUAUAGAUGGAUCCGCGCCGCAUUAGCUAGUUGGUAAGGUAACGGCUUACCAAGGCAACGAUGCGUAGCCGACCUGAGAGGGUGAUCGGCCACACUGGAACUGAGACACGGUCCAGACUCCUACGGGAGGCAGCAGUAGGGAAUCUUCCGCAAUGGGCGAAAGCCUGACGGAGCAACGCCGCGUGAGUGAUGAAGGUCUUCGGAUCGUAAAACUCUGUUAUUAGGGAAGAACAAAUGUGUAAGUAACUAUGCACGUCUUGACGGUACCUAAUCAGAAAGCCACGGCUAACUACGUG
rnacentral:rRNA from 1 species